rnacentral:lncRNA from 1 species
AACUUAUGAAGUGAAUUAGUGACUUGAAAUGUUUAGGUGUAGGUUUUUGAAAUGUGAACUUUUCAUUUGAAUUUAGUUUAGUUUGGUAACUUGUGAAGUGAAUUAGUGACUUGAAAAUGUUUAGGUGUAUGUACUUGAAAUGUGAACUUUUCAUUUUGAAUUUAGUUUAGUUUAGUAACUUGUGUAGUGAAUUUGUGACUUGAAAUGUUUAAGUGUAGUACUUGAAAUGUGAACUUUUCAUUUGAAUUUAGUUUAGUUUGGUAACUUGUGAAGUGACUUAGUGACUUGAAAAUGUUUAGGUGUAGGUACUUGAAAUGUGAACUUGUGUUUUGAUUUUAGUAAAGUAUAGUCACUUGAGAAGUGACUUAGUGACUUGAAAAUGUUUAGGUGUAUGUACUUGAAAUGUGAACUUUUCAUUUGAAUUUAGUUUAGUUUGGUAACUUGUGAAGUGAAUUAGUGACUUGAAAUGUUUAAGUGUAGUUACUUGAAUUAUGAAUUAGUGACUUUUGUUUUGAAUUUAG